UCCUACGGGGCGCAGCAGUGGGGAAUAUUGCACAAUGGGGGAAACCCUGAUGCAGCGACGCCGCGUGAGUGAAGAAGUAUCUCGGUACGUAAAGCUCUGUUAGCAGGGAAGAGGAAGGACGGUACCUGCAGAGGAAGCCACGGCUAACUACGUGCCAGCAGCCGCGGUAAUACGUAGGUGGCAAGCGUUGUUCGGAAUAACUGGGCGUAAAGGAUGCGUAGGCGGUUAAACAAGUUAUAUGUUAAAUAUAUAGGCUUAACCU
rnacentral:rRNA from 1 species